rnacentral:rRNA from 1 species
GUUGUCCAGGAAAUGAAUAUAAGUUCAGCUUUAAAAAAUACCAAAAAUAUAAAUAAAUGCACUGUAUUUUUAAAAGUUAGUCUAAAAGGGUACAGCCUUUUAGAAACGGAUACAACCUUGACUAGAGAGUAAAAUUUGAUAAUACCAUAGUAGGCCCAAAAGCAGCCACCAAUUAAGAAAGCGUUAAAGCUCAACAAUUAACUUAUAUUAAUUCCAAUAACAAACAAUCAACUCCUAGCCUUAAUACUGGACUAAUCUAUAAAAAUAGAAGCAAUAAUGUUAAUAUGAGUAACAAGAAGUCUCUUCUCCUUGCACGAGUUUAAGUCAGUAUCUGAUAAUAUUCUGACUGUUAACAGCAAAAUAAGAAUAACCUAACCAUAAAUAACUUAUUAAAUAUACUGUUAAUCCAACACAGGAGUGCACUUAAGGAAAGAUUAAAAGAAGUAAAAGGAACUCGGCAAACAUUAAACCCCGCCUGUUUACCAAAAACAUCACCUCCAGCAUAACUAGUAUUGGAGGCACUGCCUGCCCAGUGACAAUCGUUAAACGGCCGCGGUAUCCUG